rnacentral:lncRNA from 1 species
AGGUAUUCGCAAGCUUAACAUUCAACGGCACUUAGUCACUCACUAUUACCAAAAACCACAAAUCAUACAAUUGCUUCAAGUAUCCAAUAUUUACAAGUUAAAGAUAGAAAGAAUUUGUACUUACAUGCAUAUAUUUGACUCCAAAUACUCACCAAAUUAUUUUACUCAACUAAUAUUGAACAAUAAGCUAUUGGGAUCAUUGGGACUUUGCGGCUUUCAAUUGUUAGGCUCUUUGGUCCGAGGUAGGUAAUAUGGGUAUAUGUGGCUAAUUUUCUUGAAUUGAGGUGAUUACGCCAAAAUUUGAAAGAUAGGCGUUUGAAACAAUGAAUUCACCUCUAGGGACUUAAAUAAACUCGAUUCUCCAAAAUUCACACGUCAACACUUUUGCCUUGAGGCAAUGGAUCGAGUUUUCAACACAACUCAACAACUAGUCCUUAUUUCUCCCUUAUAAUCUAUUCUUCUUCU